rnacentral:rRNA from 1 species
GACGAACGCUGGCGGCAUGCCUAAUACAUGCAAGUCGAGCGAACAGAUGAAGUGCCUGCACUUCUGACGUUAGCGGCGAACGGGUGAGUAACACGUAAGGAAUCUACCUAUAAGCGGGGGAUAACAUUCGGAAACGGGUGCUAAUACCGCAUAAUAUCUUCUUCCGCAUGGAAGAAGAUUGGAAGACGGCUCUGCUGUCACUUAUAGAUGACCUUGCGGUGCAUUAGUUAGUUGGUGGGGUAACGGCCUACCAAGACGAUGAUGCAUAGCCGACCUGAGAGGGUGAUCGGCCACAUUGGGACUGAGACACGGCCCAAACUCCUACGGGAGGCAGCAGUAGGGAAUCUUCCGCAAUGGGCGAAAGCCUGACGGAGCAAUGCCGCGUGAGUGAAGAAGGCCUUCGGGUCGUAAAACUCUGUUAUAAGAGAAGAACAAAUUGUAGAGUAACUGCUACAGUCUUGACGGUAUCUUAUCAGAAAGCCACGGCUAACUACGUGCCAGCAGCCGCAGUAA